rnacentral:rRNA from 1 species
CAGCCGCCGCGGGAAUACGUAGGUGGCAAGCGUUGUCCGGAAUUAUUGGGCGUAAAGCGCGCGCAGGUGGUUUAAUAAGUCUGAUGUGAAAGCCCACGGCUCAACCGUGGAGGGUCAUUGGAAACUGUUAAACUUGAGUGCAGGAGAGAAAAGUGGAAUUCCUAGUGUAGCGGUGAAAUGCGUAGAGAUUAGGAGGAACACCAGUGGCGAAGGCGGCUUUCUGGCCUGUAACUGACACUGAGGCGCGAAAGCGUGGGGAGCAAACAGGAUUAGAUACCCGCGUAGUCCCUGUCUCUUAUAC